CCAGGGAGGUGAGAGGGUACCUGCUGGAGAGAGGUGGUGGGUAGCUGGAAGCGGCUGGCUAGGAGGCGGGGCGUGGGGCGUGGGGCGGUGGAACUCCUGUGCUGCGGCAUUCACGUGAUCUGCCCGGGCGCAGAUGUGGGCACCGGUCCGAGUGCCCGCCCUCUGUCCCCUCGGCUCGGUCCCGUCUGCUCCAGUUCCUGGGCUCCUAAUUCUUGGUCCAGCUUCUUCCAGGUCUGCGCGUCUGUUGUUCCCAGCGCUCUGCAAAGCCUGAAAAGGAGGAGCAACCUGUCCAGAAUCCCCGCAGGACAGGAAA
rnacentral:lncRNA from 1 species